UCCGUCAUAACCACCGCUCGCCAGAGAGAUCGCCACCUAUCCUAUUAUUUCCACUCGCCAAUGUACCCCACGGCUCUUCCCAUCUUGCUUCACUCUUGUUUUCUUUCCAUCUCUUAUGAACACGGUUCCACCUGAAGAACAUUCAACUGCCCAAAGGAGGCUGGAUUCUUACACUCACACUCUUUGUUUCACUUUAACAUCCACCUCUUUUUUUUUUCUUUUUCUUUUUUUUGUCUUGAGUGUGUAUGCGUGUUAGUUUGACAAAAUGCUUGCUGCAAUUCUUCUAUUGACGCUGCUCUUCGAUAAUGUGGGGGGUUAUCUGCUGAAGUUCUGAAUUUGCCAUCCAACUGUUUGACGAAAUUCCCCUUUGAGUGCUGCAUGGGUUUUGCGUAUAAACAUAGACUCAGACAGGCCUAUUUUAAACGUAGUUAAGGCAAAUACCUCUCUUUUUCUUUUUCUUUUUCCGGCCUGCUCCUUGGCUUUGAACUUUGAAGUGAGAGUUCGGGCGGGAAGACGGAGACACCAUGAAGAAUAAG